GGGGGCGUAAUGGUCUCGACGGGGAGUGUAAGCCCUGGUAAGCGAGCGGUGGCAUUGCGGAACCACCUUAAAAUCCGUAAAUCUUUAAAAUUAAACGACAACAAAAAGUUUGUUCCUCUUGCCGCUUAAUUAGGCAAGCGUCCUUUUCCGGAGUACCACGGCCGGUUUUGGGCGUCGAUCAGUGGUGAACGUGAAUAAAGGCCUGACUCGUCCUUUAUCAUGACCCAGAGCCUACCGAAGCAUACAGCCCGUUUGUAGGCGGUAUGACGGGGGAAUCUUAAUAUGCAUUCUGCGCUCGGAGAAAGCCUUGGUAAGUGCUUUUCGGACAGGGGUUCGAUUCCCCUCGCCUCCACCA
rnacentral:tmRNA from 1 species